CAGUCGCCGCGGUAAUACGUAGGUGGCAAGCGUUGUCCGGAAUUAUUGGGCGUAAAGGGCUCGCAGGCGGUUUCUUAAGUCUGAUGUGAAAGCCCCCGGCUCAACCGGGGAGGGUCAUUGGAAACUGGGAAACUUGAGUGCAGAAGAGGAGAGUGGAAUUCCACGUGUAGCGGUGAAAUGCGUAGAGAUGUGGAGGAACACCAGUGGUGAAGGCGACUCUCUGGUCUGUAACUGACGCUGAGGAGCGAAAGCGUGGGGAGCGAACAGGAUUAGAUACCCCAGUAGUCCCUGUCUCUUAUAA
rnacentral:rRNA from 1 species